rnacentral:rRNA from 1 species
CAGCCGCCACGGUAAUACGUAGGUCCCGAGCGUUGUCCGGAUUUAUUGGGCGUAAAGCGAGCGCAGGCGGUUAGAUAAGUCUGAAGUUAAAGGCUGUGGCUUAACCAUAGUACGCUUUGGAAACUGUUUAACUUGAGUGCAGAAGGGGAGAGUGGAAUUCUAUGUGUAGCGGUGAAAUGCGUAGAUAUAUGGAGGAACACCGGUGGCGAAAGCGGCUCUCUGGUCUGUAACUGACGCUGAGGCUCGAAAGCGUGGGGAGCGAACAGGAUUAGAUACCCCUGUAGUCCCUGUCUCUUAUACA